GGUCCUUGAUGUUGUUGAGAGGGAGAAUGCUCUUUAGGUGUAUUGGUUGGAUUCUUAAUGUUACUUACAUGGUUACCAAAAAAAAGAAAAAGACUCGAAAUAGCUACAGGAGAAGUUUUUCUUCUUACAAUUCAUCCAACUUUUCUCAUUUUCAGCGGCCGCUGCCUCUGCUAUCUCAUAAUCCAGAGCUCCUUCAAGACGAUACUGGAAAUUAAAUGCAAGUUCGGGAUGUUGCCGUUGAAAUUCUGGAGGAAAAUCGAAAGACUGACACGGUAGAGGAGUUGUUGUACAACAGAGAUGAUGAAAAUAGAACUCAGGCUCGGGGGGAAUCUGGAGCGUUGGUUUCCAUAUUUGGAUAAAGUUAAGGUGGGAAGUGACUACUUGAGUAGUUCGGAGAUAUUGGAAGCAUUGAACCUGUAUAUAAUGGACUCGAGGAAAGAAUAGGACGUAUUCAAUAUGUUUGGUGGUUGAAGGUUUGAGUGAUUUUGGCAAUGUUUCAGCUACAUUUGUCUCAGCUGAUGCUCUGGGGAUUCAGUCAGUCCAUGUUGUAGCUUGUCAUAGUUCGAAAAGGUGAUCAGCACUUUAGGUGAAAAUACCUUUUUGUUUCUCGUUGUUCGAUAUGUUUUUUUAGCAUUGGCAGAUGUAGUAGUAUCUACUUUUUGUUUCAAAUGUACUUUUAACAUAACAUAUGAUGUAAAGCAAUGUGUUUGAGGCAACACGCUUGACUUAAUCCAAUAGUUUCCCUUCGUUUGGCUAGGGAAAGAGAAAAA